AGCAGCCGCGGUAAUUCCAGCUCCAAUAGCGUAUAUUAAAGUUGUUGCAGUUAAAAAGCUCGUAGUUGAAUUUCGAGACCGGUUUACUGGUCGUGCUUUUGUACGUACUGGUAUUAUUGGUUUCUCCUUUCUGACGAAUCAUAAUGCCAUUAAUUUGGUGUUUUGGGGAAUCAGGACUGUUACUUUGAAAAAAGUUAGAGUGUUUAAAGCAGGCUCACGCUUGAAUACAUUAGCAUGGAAUAACGAAAUAGGACGUUUGAUUUUAUUUUGGUUGGUUUCUAGGAUCGACGUAAUGAUUAAUAGGGAUAGUUGGGGGCAUUAGUAUUCAAUUGUCGGAGGUGAAAUUCUUGGAUUUAUUGAAGACUAACUACUGCGAAAUGCAUUUGCCAAGGAUGUUUUCAUUAAUCAAGAACGAAAGUUAGGGGAUCGAAGACGAUCAGAUACCGUCGUAGUCUUAACCAUAAACUAUGCCGACUAGGGAUCGGAUGAUGUUAAUUUUUUUGAAUGACUCAUUCGG
rnacentral:rRNA from 1 species